AAGAACAAACAAAAAAAACCCCAACAAACAACAAAAGGGUUUGAAAAUUAUUUAGAGAUUAUUGCCAUGGUAAACAUUUUCUUUUUGCUUUUCUUUUUCCUUUUUUUUUUUUUUUUAAAGAUGAGUUUUUGCUGUGUGGUCUUUUGCCUCAGGCACCUGAGUCCUGGCAGUACAGUUUUACUCCAUCAUGGUCAAUGAGCCAACCAGUUUUUGCUCUUUGAGUUUUUUUAAUCUCUUGACUUUAUAGUGGCUUAGUUUUUAUUUAAUAAGAUAUUUAAUGGAUCCAUUUUUAUCAAGGUCAGAAAACAUUUUAAAUAUUGUUAUAGAAGACAUUUUUUAUUAUAUGCAUUACUGUUUACAGGAGCGGGUUGACAAGGCCAAAACAGUUCCAGCACCCCUUCAGUCCAGCCUAGCCAAAGUCUACGACUUGUGGCAUAUUGGACAGCUGCUGAGGUGGGACAGCAGGGACCACUUCCCAAUUCAGAGGGAACAACUGGACAGUUUCCAAUUUUAUUUUCUUUUAAGUGUCCCCAGACAGCUGGCACUUUCUACUCUUACCUGUUAAGAUCUAAUCCCAGAUGACAUCUGACAGUACAAUUAACUUUUCUCAUUAUACUAUUUUCAAACAUUCCUCGGCCAGAGGAUGGCUGUCUAGAUAAUGCCUGACAUACAGUGAAAAGCCUUGUUUCAUGGUGGGCGAUGCUGGCUCUAACCCACUUUAAACUCAGGUUUGCAGAGACCGUGAUGCCAUGGCAUUAGAGGCCUCAACACCCUGAUUCACAAAAGUUUGGAGUAAGCUUUCCUUUUCUUCUGAAGUAGAUACCAUAGUCCCAGAUGAACUUGAUGUGAGAAUACUGUUUUUAUUCAUGUCACAUCAGCACAGCGUGCCUGUGUGUUAACUUUACCAGACUCCCUGCAAGCAUCUUGCCUCUCAGUAUGUGUUCCACAUUACCUUUGACAGAGGAACUCUUGAGACUCCUGCUUGGAAUGCAGCAUUGAAGCAAUACCCCUGAAAGUCACCGUUCAUCCCAGUUGAGGUAGAAAACUACAGUUGGGGCCGGGGGAGGCGGUGUGGACAGCCCCAUUGUUAGGGAAAUUAUCAGCUUUCCCCCCCAGAGAGCUAAACACUUUCCAUCCUUUGCCACGUGCUAAGGCUGAGUUGGAUGCUGAGGCUUGCAGUUCCUCUGUGCCAUUCCCUCUGUGUGACCAAGGGCUUCUGGGGUUUCAGUGCUGAGUGCCUGCUCUGAUAGUCAGAUCGUAUUACUUUAUUUUAAUAUAUCCCUGUGUUCAUUUGAAAAUUAAUAUUCUGCUAUAUAAAGUUAAGGACGCUUCAUAACUGAGAAAGAAUAGGAGGCAAUCAUUUAUUUAUUUAAAGAAGAAAAAGAUAAUGUCACGGGCUGGGGAAGUGUUUCAUUGGAGAAUGCUUGCCUAGCAUGCUUGGGACCCUGGGUUUGAUUCCUUACCCCAAUCCAAAAACAUUCUUUAUUAAAAUUGUCCUAUCAUUUCAGACUUUAGUAAUUUAUACAGUUUAGACUGUUGUUGUGGUCUCUCUCUGUAUAAUGUAGUGGUGUGUAUUUAUCUAGAUCUGUUAAAUCAUAUAAUUGAUUCCUGAAAGCAGAAUCUUUAAGAUGACUUUCUGUUAGAUGAUGAGAACAUUUCUAUACCAUUUGCUCUACUCAAAGAAUCCUAUGCAUUUGUCCUUGUAGAAGGCUGUACAAUGAAUUAUGUUGUGGUACAUAAGUUUAUUAUAUUGUAUUCUAAUUGAAAUGUGUCUUGCUGAAGACCACAGUUAAUAUUCAUACUUUUGCUAGAAGAUGCUUUGUGUCUUUCUUAUCACCCUUAGUCCUUAGGACCCCAGCUCAGAAGGCCCCUGCUGACUGUUACCCUCUAGUUCCGGACUGGGUCUUGCUGUUCUGAUCUUUCUGGGUUAAUGGAGGCCUAUGGGUUUGAUUUUCGAAAAUGAGAGAGUUGCCAUUAUAUUUUAUACUUAUUUGUGGUGUGAACUCUUAAGGCGUUUUGACACAUGUUAGGACAGGGUUUCUACCUUAGAAGCUUUUGUGGCGGUACUGUAUGGUAGCACUGCUGUAAUGUGAUUUUCAUAUCUUGUAUUUCUGAAUUACACAUACAGACUAGGGAACAAGCUUUACUGAUCUGAAAAUUUAUUUUUCUAGAUAUUUGUCAUUUUAAAGAUACUUAAUCAAGCUACAAAAGUCUUUUAUAGCAUUGUCUCUAUUUGGCUUCCUAGACAUUUCAUAAGGCCUGAUUUUUAUUAUUUUUAGGAAGUAAUAUUUUUACAAUAUAUACUUAGGAAUCUGAACAUUCAUUUCAAGUAUGCUCUGUCUGUAUGAGUAAAAGAAGCCUAAGAAAUAUAGAAUAUAAUAAAGCUUUUUGAACAGUUACAUUUCAUAUGCAAAUAGAUUUUCUGACCCUUAUUCCUGCUUAUUUUGUGAGCUGUGUCUACAUUUUGAUAACAAGAAGUAGGUGAGAGAACACCUUGGUUUCUUGUAAGCAGAAAUGUUUGCUCAUCCUGAGGAGAUGUUUCUUAAAACACAUUUUUCACCAUAGGUCUUCCUUUGCUGCUUGUCUGCACUCUUAGGGGAAAUGCUCGGACAUCUCACUACAACAUAGACGGCUACUUGUAAGGUUUUCAUAGAGCUCAUUUCUUAGGUUGACAAUUUCUCAUUUCCUGUUUGCUGAGAGUUUUUUAUUAAUAGGUCUCUGUUAAAUUUUAUUGUAUGUUUUCUGCAGCUCUAUGUUGAUUAUAUGAUUUUGUUUAUACCUUUAAAUUGCUUUUAUUCAUUGUACUCAAUGGUGAGUUUUAUAAAGACAUUUCAUUAAGUAGAUCAUUUUGGAAGCAUCUUGAAUUGCAAGCCAAACUUUUCUUUAAAUUUGAAAAUUUUAUAUUC
rnacentral:lncRNA from 1 species